AGUGAACGCUGGCGGUAGGCCUAACACAUGCAAGUAGAACGGUAGCACAGUAAGUGCUUGCUCUUACGGGUGGCGAGUGGCGGACGGGUGAGGUAUACAUCGGAAUCUACAUUUUCGGGGGGGUUAACGUAGGGAAACUUACGCUAAUACCGCAUACGACCUACGGGUGUAAGCAGGGGAUCUUGGGAACUUGCGCGCUUGCAUGUGCCGGUGCCGGAUUAGCUAGUUGGCGGGGUGAAGGCCCACCACGGGGACGAUCUAUAGCUGACCUGUGAGGUUGAUAGGCAACACUGGGAAUGAGACACGGCCAAGACGCCUACUGGAGGCAGCAGAAGGGAAGCUUAGGCAAUGGAAGGAAGUCGGAUGGAGCAACGCCGCGUGAGUGAAGAAGGUUUUCGGAUCGAAAAGCUCUGUUGUAAGAGAAGAACGAGUGUGAGAGGGGAAAGUGCACACUGGCAAGGUAUCUUAUAAGAAAGGGACGGCUAAAUACGUG
rnacentral:rRNA from 1 species